rnacentral:rRNA from 1 species
AUUGAACGCUGGCGGCAUGCCUAACACAUGCAAGUCGAACGGCAGCAUGACCUAGCUUGCUAGGUUGAUGGCGAGUGGCGCACGGGUGAGUAAUGCGUAGGAAUAUACCUUAAAGUGGGGGAUAACCUGGGGAAACUCAGGCUAAUACCGCAUGAGCUCUGAGGAGGAAAGCUGGGGACCGCAAGGCCUGGCGCUUUAAGAUUAGCCUACGUCCGAUUAGCUAGUUGGUGGGGUAAGAGCUUACCAAGGCGACGAUCGGUAGCUGGUCUGAGAGGAUGAUCAGCCACACUGGGACGGGGACACGGCCCAGACUCCUACGGGAGGCAGCAGUGGGGAAUAGUGGACAAUGGCGGCAACCCUGAUCCAGCCAUGCCGCGUGAGUGAAGAAGGCCUUCGGGUUGUAAAGCUCUUUCGGCCGGGAAGAAAUCGCACAGGCUAAUACUCUGUGUGGAUGACGGUACCGGCAUAAGAAGCACCGGCUAACUACGUGCCAGCCGCCGCGGUAAAAC